AUUUAAUGCAAUUUUGACUUCCCCUAAAAAAGUGGUGAAGUCACAUGAAAGUGACAAAAAGAUUGCCAAACACCCCCUUAGGCACUGUAAGCUCUCGUUUGUCUAUGCCUCUUCUAUAUGGUUUUGAUCUGCUAGAUGGUGAAGAGUAGCAUGAGUUAUCAUUUUGGGAGUUUCACUUUCAAGAGUAUUCGGAUGCAAUUGAAGGGAGCAACCUUGGGUUAGUAGGCACAUAACCACUGUAAGUAGGCACAUAACCACUGUAAUCUCUAUUGUGUGAUAAUUGUCCUAUGGUCUUGAUUGGGCAGAUGGUGAAGGAUAUCUUGUCCACCAUUUGGGAGUUUAUAUUUCAAAAAGUCCUGAAACUUUGGGUUAGGCACUGUAAGCUUCUUGUUGCCCGAUACUUCAAUGGCUUUGAUCUGCAAGUUGGUGUAGAAUAGCUUAAUCAUCCUCUGGGAGUUUUGGCUUCAAAAAGGCCCGGGGACUUGAGAUAUCUUAGUGGAGCAGGUGAAGAAUAGAAUGAUUAUCAUUUUGGGAGUUCCACUUUCAAUAAAUUCUGAGGACUCUGACGCAAUUGAAGGGAGCAACCUUGGGUUAGUAGAAACAUAACUACUGUAAGCUUUUAUUGUGUGAUAAUUGUCCUAUGGUCUUGAUUUGGCAGAUGGUGAAGGAUAUCUUGUCCAUCAUUUGGGAGUUUAUGUUUCAGAAAGUCCUGAAACCUUGGCUUAGGCACUGUAAGUUUCUUGUUGUUCUUGUUGCCUGAUACUUCUAUGGCUUUUAUCUGCAAGUUGGUGUAGAAUAGCUUAAUCAUCCUCUGGGAGUUUCAGUUUUAAAAAAAAUUGGGACUUGAGAUAUCUUAGUGGAGCAAUCUUGGGUUGGCACUGUAAGUUCAUUGUUGCCCAAUGAUUAUCAUAGUAGAAAUUAAUUUAGUUCAAUUCUGUGAUUUCAUCGCGGUACAUCUUAGUGGAGCGACUGUGGGUAGGCACUGUAAGCUUUUAUUGUUGCCUGAUAAUUAUUAUAUCAUAAUUUUGUUUAGUUCCAUUCUGUGAUUAUCAUAUCAUAGUUUUGUUUAGUUCCAUUCUGUGAUUUCGACAGUGUAUAUAUAUAUAGAGAGAGAUGUAGGUCACUAGAUGGAGGUCUGCACAUUAUUUGGACUACAUGCUAGGAUAUAGUUCUUUUAUUGGCAAUUAAAAUCUUCAUGAUUUCUUGAUUUGAUUCCUUGGGUGAUAUGUGCAUAAUGUGUUGAUGGGUGCUUCAAAUUAUUUUUUCUCUUACAGAAGGAUAAGUAUCAGCAUAUAGUAUGAAAAUUCAACUGGUGGUCAUAAAAUGGUGCAAAAAAUGUGGGGAAUUGUUUCAUGUUUUUUAUUUGUUUUCUGUUGUACCAUGGUCUAUGGAGUGUCCUUGUAUACCACAUGCACGAGCAUUGUUAGGCUAUUAUUGAAUCUAUGUGCUUAACACAAUUUUAUACGAAGAUCAAUGUUUGGUGGAACCAUAUUGUUCUCUUUUAUUAGCGUCCUGUUCAAGGAUAAGUGCAGAUGAGUGACAAUCAGGAUUCAGAAUCAACUACUUGGUUUAAAUGCAGAGACACGCUAAACUAAUGUAGGAAGAUAUGAUGGUCUGGGUUCAAUCAGACCAAAUCCAAUAAAAGCUUGAUGGUCAUUGUUAGUUAGACAAGAUAAUUGUUUCAGCUGAAACGAAGAAUGAAAUGAAAUGAGUUCAGAAAAGUGAUAGUUAAGAAGUUAGGUUGAAUCAAUAACGAAAUAGAACUUUAGAUUGUGCUGUUAAUUGUGCUGUUAAUUGAUACAGAGAGCUCUCUGAGGUGGGGUCGUCUGUUCAUGUGGAGAUUAAGAAUGCAAUGAAUAGCAGCUCCGGUGGUAGGAAGAUGUUGAUUUACUUUCUUGUUAUCAGAAGAUUAUCCAGUUGAUGACCCGGAUUAGGCAGCCUAAUUGAUCACUGAGAUCUCUGCUUUCCUCACCUAAAUCACGCCAGUUUGGCAUGGGCAUUUUGCGGAUCUUCUCGAAGCAUAUGCCUUACUAAAGGGAGAAAUUUAGAAGGGUGAAGAGCAUGGAGACUGUCAUAGUUUAGCAUCAUGGGAAAUCCGUUCUGGUAGACAGCUACUAGGGUUAUAUCCUUGAGUUGUGGAAGAAUUAAAAUCAUCAUGUACAACAGAAGUAGUGCAGGUGGACCACUGUCCUAGUUUAGCAACACAGGAAAUCCAUUCUGGGAGACAGCUACUAGGGUUAUAUCCUUGAGUUGUGGAAUUAGAAAUCAGAAGAAUUAAAAUCAUCAUGUACAGCAGUAGUCCAGGUGGACCAUUCAAUUGAGGGUGUCAAGUUUCUACAUGAAGAAUUAAAAUCAUCAUGUACAGCAGUAGUCCAGGUGGACCAUUCAGUUGAGGGUGUCAAGAUUCUACAUGUUAAGUUUUCCCAUGUAGCGACAUUAUGUGGUCACUUCAGUGAGUUUUUUGUGAACUUUUAUGUAGACUUGGCAUCAGGUUGCUGUCCAUUUGUAAUGCAACAUUUAAACAUAUGAUUGUGAAAGUCUAUUUUUCAUUCAACAUUCAUGGGUUAUUUGGCAUUA